AUUGAACGCUGGCGGCAUGCCUUACACAUGCAAGUCGAACGGCAGCAUAGGAGCUUGCUCCUGAUGGCGAGUGGCGAACGGGUGAGUAAUAUAUCGGAACGUGCCCUAGAGUGGGGGAUAACUAGUCGAAAGACUAGCUAAUACCGCAUACGAUCUACGGAUGAAAGUGGGGGAUCGCAAGACCUCACGCUCCUGGAGAGGCCUAUAUCCGAUUAGCUAGUUGGUGGGGUAAAAGCCUACCAAGCCAACGAUCAGUAGCUGGUCUGAGAGGCCGACCAGCCACCCUGGGACUGAGACACGGCCCAGACUCCUACGGGAGGCAGCAGUGGGGAAUUUUGGACAAUGGGGGCAACCCUGAUCCAGCAAUGCCGCGUGAGUGAAGAAGGCCUUCGGGUUGUAAAGCUCUUUUGUCAGGGAAGAAACGGUAGUAGCGAAUAACUACUACUAAUGACGGUACCUGAAGAAUAAGCACCGGCUAACUACGUGCCAGCCGCCGCGGUAA
rnacentral:rRNA from 1 species